CGGACGGGUGAGUAAUGUCUGGGAAACUGCCCGAUGGAGGGGGAUAACUACUGGAAACGGUAGCUAAUACCGCAUAACGUCGCAAGACCAAAGAGGGGGACCUUCGGGCCUCUUGCCAUCGGAUGUGCCCAGAUGGGAUUAGCUAGUAGGUGGGGUGAAGGCUCACCUAGGCGACGAUCCCUAGCUGGUCUGAGAGGAUGACCAGCCACACUGGAACUGAGACACGGUCCAG
rnacentral:rRNA from 1 species